UUGGGAAAAUCCUCUGCACUAUUAUUAACAGCAGACUCGUACAUUUCCUCAAUGAAAACAAUGUACUGAGCAAAUGUCAAAUUGGCUUUUUACCAAAUUACCGUACAACAGACCAUGUAUUCACCCUGCACACCCUAAUUGACAAUCAAACAAACCAAAACAAAGGCAAAGUCUUCUCAUGCUUUGUUGAUUUCAAAAAAGCCUUCGACUCAAUCUGGCAUGAGGGUCUGCUAUACAAACUGAUGGAAAGUGGUGUUGGGGGUAAAACAUACGACAUUAUAAAAUCCAUGUACACAAACAACAAGUGUGCGGUUAAAAUUGGCAAAAAACACACACAUUUCUUCACACAGGGUCGUGGGGUUAGACAGGGAUGCAGCUUAAGCCCCACCCUCUUCAACAUAUAUAUCAACGAAUUGGCGAGGGCACUAGAAAAGUCUGCAGCACCCGGCCUCCCCCUGCUAGAAUCCGAAGUCAAAUGUCUGCUGUUUGCUGAUGAUCUGGUGCUUCUGUCACCAACCAAGGAGGGCCUACAGCAGCACCUAGAUCUUAUGCACAGAUUCUGUCAGACCUGGGCCCUGACAGUAAAUCUCAGUAAGACCAAAAUAAUGGUGUUCCAAAAAAGGUCCAGUCACCAGGACCACAAAUACAAAUUCCAUCUAGACACUGUUGCCCUAGAGCACACAAAAAACUAUACAUACCUUGGCCUAAACAUCAGCACCACAGGUAACUUCCACAAAGCUGUGAACGAUCUGAGAGACAAGGCAAGAAGGGCAUUCUAUGCCAUCAAAAGAAACAUAAAUUUCAACAUACCAACUAGGAUCUGGCAAAAAAUACUUGAAUCAGUCAUAGAGCCCAUUGCCCUUUAUGGUUGUGAGGUCUGGGGUCCGCUCACCAACCAAGACUUCACAAAAUGGGACAAACACCAAAUUGAGACUCUGCACGCAGAAUUCUGCAAAAAUAUCCUCCGUGUACAACGUAGAACACCAAAUAAUGCAUGCAGAGCAGAAUUAGGCCGAUACCCACUAAUUAUCAAAAUCCAGAAAAGAGCUGUUAAAUUCUACAACCACCUAAAAGGAAGCGAUUCACAAACCUUCCAUAACAAAGCCAUCACCUACAGAGAGAUGAACCUGGAGAAGAGUCCCCUAAGCAAGCUGGUCCUGGGGCUCUGUUCACAAACACAAACACACACUACAGAGCCCCAGGACAGCAGCACAAUUAGACCCAACCAAAUCAUGAGAAAACAAAAAGAUAACUACUUAACACAUUGGAAAGAAUUAACAAAAAAACAGAGCAAACUAGAAUGCUAUUUGGCCCUACACAGAGAGUACACAGCGGCACAAUACCUGACC
ensembl:lncRNA